rnacentral:rRNA from 1 species
AACGAACGCUGGCGGCAGGCCUAACACAUGCAAGUCGAGCGCUCACUUCGGUGGGAGCGGCGGACGGGUUAGUAACGCGUGGGAAUAUGCCCUUCUCUACGGAAUAGCCAUUGGAAACGAUGAGUAAUACCGUAUACGCCCUUCGGGGGAAAGAUUUAUCGGAGAAGGAUUAGCCCGCGUUAGAUUAGAUAGUUGGUGGGGUAAUGGCCUACCAAGUCUACGAUCUAUAGCUGGUUUUAGAGGAUGAUCAGCAACACUGGGACUGAGACACGGCCCAG